GUGGUGUAGAGCAAGACUGGGCUA
rnacentral:piRNA from 1 species